AAAUCCCAGCCUGUGUCUGCUGCAGAGAGACAGUGCAUCUGCUCAUACUGGGACCAGUCUGCUUCAUCAGGAGACUCGUCCUGUCCCCAGUGUGGAGAAAGAUCCAGAAGCAGAGCUGGACUGCAGACAGCCAGUCAGAGCAGCUGUGUACAAACAGAUGUUGGUCUGCAGGAGGUUUUAGAUGAACAUAAGA